rnacentral:rRNA from 1 species
ACUCAGAGCAAAUCCCAAAAAGACCGUCUCAGUUCAGAUUGCAGGCUGCAACUCGCCUGCAUGAAGACGGAAUUGCUAGUAAUCGCAGAUCAGCAUGCUGCGGUGAAUACGUUCCCGGGUCUUGUACACACCGCCCGUCACACCAUGGGAGUCGGGAAUGCCCGAAGUCAGUGACCCAACCCAAGGGAGGGAGCUGCCGAAGGCAGGCCUGGUGACUGGGGUGAAGUCGUAACAAGGUAUC